rnacentral:lncRNA from 1 species
UCUUCAAUAUACAGAUUACGCAUCUUUCACUUCCAUUAAGCUCUUGGUGACUCUUUGUUUGUUCUUUCCACAGCUUCUGUUCCUGCUUUCCUUACAGCAACCACCAUUGAGUCUCUGGGUGUCAGCUGCACGUUCACCAGCAGGUGUGAAUUUGCAGGAGUUGAGGAAAAACAAAAUACUCUCUUCUGGAGUGCAGGAAGAACCUGACACUGCAGAACAAACAGUUUGCAAGAAGGAAAUAUUUCAUGUAGACAUUGAAGAAUAACUUUGUGACCCUACGGUGUUAUCUUUCUGAGCAGCCAGACAGAUGUGCAAGAUGAGGACAAAGAGCCUUUCAAUCUCCUUGCCCACAGGAUGCUCGGAAGGUAUAUAUUAUCUUGUUUAAACAAGUUUUCUCUCUUUUUAGCACUAGCACUAUGGGGUAUUUUUCUGC